rnacentral:rRNA from 1 species
GGAGGGUGCGAGCGUUAAUCGGAAUUACUGGGCGUAAAGCGCGCGCAGGCGGGCUGGGGUCAGUCGGGAUGUGAAAGCCCCCGGGGCUUAACCUGGGAAUUGCAUUCGAUACUGCCCGGCUAGAGUAUGGGAGAGGGAAGUGGAAUUUCCGGUGUAGCGGUGAAAUGCGUAGAUAUCGGAAGGAACACCAGUGGCGAAGGCGGCUUCCUGGCCCAAUACUGACGCUCAGGUGCGAAAGCGUGGGGAGCGAACAGGAUUAGAUACCCUGGUGGUCCACGCUGUAAACGAUGAGAACUAGAUGUUGGGAGGGUUAGCCUCUCAGUGUCGCAGCUAACGCGUUAAGUUCUCCGCCUGGGGAGUACGACCGCAAGGUUG